GACGAACGCUGGCGGCGUGCCUAAUACAUGCAAGUAGAACGCUGAAGAGAGGAGCUUGCUCUUCUUGGAUGAGUUGCGAACGGGUGAGUAACGUGUAGGUAACCUGCCUUGUAGCGGGGGAUAACUAUUGGAAACGAUAGCUAAUACCGCAUAACAAUGGAUGACACAUGUCAUUUAUUUGAAAGGGGCAAUUGCUCCACUACAAGAUGGACCUGCGUUGUAUUAGCUAGUAGGUGAGGUAAUGGCUCACCUAGGCGACGAUACAUAGCCGACCUGAGAGGGUGAUCGGCCACACUGGGACUGAGACACGGCCCAGACUCCUACGGGAGGCAGCAGUAGGGAAUCUUCGGCAAUGGGGGCAACCCUGACCGAGCAACGCCGCGUGAGUGAAGAAGGGUUUCGGAUCGUAAAGCUCUGUUGUAAGUCAAGAACGGGUGUGAGAGUGGAAAGUUCACACUGUGACGGUAGCUUACCAGAAAGGGACGGCUAACUACGUG
rnacentral:rRNA from 1 species